GUUGAAGUCUUUAAAAUGGACUUUGUUUGGAAUUUGGUUGACUGAGGCUGCUAUCCCAAAUUAUUCUUUGGUCGAGACCAUAGUAUUUGAUGAUGUAUUCCAAGGUCCUCUAGCAUAUGUAAGGCAUCCGUCUGCAAUUUUCAACUGUUGUGGCAAAAUGAGUGAAGCAGUCCAUGUCUAGCAUCAAGUUGGGGAAUUUAAAUUUAAUGGGAACAUGAGUAAAGAAUUUUGCGGGGCAGGUACCUCUCUCUCUCUCUCUCUUUUUCCCCAUCAGGUGUCUUGGUUGUUCAGUUCAUCAAUCUUAGGAUCAUAAUUUCAGCUACUAUCGUAUCAUGUAUUAUACUUCUUUUACACGUGGUUGUUAGGAUGAUUAGAGGUUUAAUGGUUCUAUUAGUUUCUGUGACUUUGUUGAUCAUUGUGAUUACGAAUUUUAUUGGUUUUACGGUGAGCGUAUUGGUACAGUUUUCGUAUUUUCUUCGCAUUUACAGAAAAAGAAAGGUGCUUUUGGUUUUGUUGAAUGAGUUUUUGAGCUAUUUGAUCAAAUGCAUAGCAGGUAUGCUCUGGAUGUGAAUUGCAGAGACAAUAAGAUGUUCGUUUGCAUAAGAAAUUGCUGCAUUUGGCUCAGGAUCCUGCUAAAAGGCCUGGAAUUGAAGUCCACCUCGUGCAGCUGAUUCUGUGCAUUCAGAUUUUCCUCAUGAAGAAGCUGCCCGAAGUUCUAUAAACUCCUCUAGCAGACACAGGUUUGUUUUUUUUUUUUUUUGCUCAUUUCUAUUAUGUCCUAAAAUAUGUGGUUUAUUUUUUGAGAAAGUUCCCUGAAGUAUCACAUUGAUAUUUGAUAGUCCACAAAUAAAGUUACGUUCAAUUUUUUUGCUUGCUUGAUGAUUAACAUUCUGACAUCUCUAGCUGGUUUUUCAAUUGUCGGCAUACACCCACCACCUGCCUUUGGUUAACCUUGAAGCCCUUGCGCUUGAAGCAAAUAUAUCUUAUGAUCAAUGUCAAUGAUGAACAUUCUCUGUACAUGCCAGUGCACGGUUUUCUUGUUAAAUACUUGCAUCUCAAUCCAUCCAUUGGGCUAGAUCUGGCAAAAUUUAUAGAAAAUUUUAAAAGAAUAGUAAUGGUUAUUCUAUUUCAACUUGUAUUAUGAGUAAUACACCUUCAUAUUCAGGAAUUGACAAUUUUGUAUACCAAACUUGCC